UACGGAGGAUGCGAGCGUUAUCCGGAUUUAUUGGGUUUAAAGGGUGCGUAGGCGGGAUGCCAAGUCAGCGGUAAAAAUGCGGUGCUCAACGCCGUCGAGCCGUUGAAACUGGCGUUCUUGAGUGGGCGAGAAGUAUGCGGAAUGCGUGGUGUAGCGGUGAAAUGCAUAGAUAUCACGCAGAACUCCGAUUGCGAAGGCAGCAUACCGGCGCCCUACUGACGCUGAGGCACGAAAGCGCGGGGAUCGAACAGG
rnacentral:rRNA from 1 species